GCAUUGGCAGUCCCGUGGUAGAAUUCUCACCUUCCGUGCAGGAUACCCAGGUUCGAGUCCUGGCCAGUGCA
rnacentral:tRNA from 1 species